rnacentral:rRNA from 1 species
UACGAACCGUCCAAACGUUACUCGGAAUUACUGGGCUUAAAGGGUGCGUAGGCCGCGCGGAGGGUGGGAUGUGAAAUCCCCCGGCUCAACCGGGGAAUAGCGUCCCAAACCGCCGUGCUCGAGGGAGACAGAGGUGAGCGGAACUGAUGGUGGAGCGGUGAAAUGCGCAGAGAUCAGGAGGAACACCCGUAGCGAAGGCGGCACUCUGGGCCGAUACUGACACUGAGGAGCGAAAGCGUGGGGAGCGAACAGG